rfam:Myotis brandtii contig325014, whole genome shotgun sequence.
GGUGGUUCUCGGGUGAUGUACCCCGAAUCAGGCUCCCUUCUCUCUGGUUCUGGGGUGCAUGACCCAAGAAUCGCA